rnacentral:rRNA from 1 species
UACGAAGGGGGCUAGCGUUGUUCGGAUUUACUGGGCGUAAAGCGCACGUAGGCGGAUCGAUCAGUCAGGGGUGAAAUCCCAGGGCUCAACCCUGGAACUGCCUUUGAUACUGUCGAUCUGGAGUAUGGAAGAGGUGAGUGGAAUUCCGAGUGUAGAGGUGAAAUUCGUAGAUAUUCGGAGGAACACCAGUGGCGAAGGCGGCUCACUGGUCCAUUACUGACGCUGAGGUGCGAAAGCGUGGGGAGCAGACAGG